UACAGUUUCUUUCCUUUCGAUUAACAAACAAAACACACGAGCAAUAGAAUUGGGGGUUAGGUAUUUUUCAGCAGGCGAUUUCAAGCGAGUAACCAAGAGUCGACCGGGAUGUUCAGAAUUAGUUGAAUCGUAUCGUGGAGCGAGGCUGUCAUAAACCAAUAAAGUGAAGCUGCGCUAUGGAUACUCUAUUAAGUCUGUAAGAGAGUAAGCAGAAGGGAACAGUUCAGUAGAUAGUACUAUUAGAAAUCUGAGUUAGACACCGGAGUUAAGCUAGGGAUUAAGAUGAUUCGUUUGUCAAGCUGCGCGUAGGAGUAAGUAAUGCUAGGCGAGAUUGCCAGGGAGAUGUUUAAAAGAAUAGCUCCGGUUAGAACUAUUCUAUUUCAGUUUAGUUGUAUGAUAGAUUUAUUUAUUGGUUAUCAGUUAUUCUUCUUAUCGAGGUUUAGCUGAUAAUGUAGUUUAAGUUGUAAUGAGAUUUAUUAGUUUUGAUUUCAGAUUUCAGUGUUGUAACCUAUUAGCGAUCCUGUUUUUAGGGGGUCAAAGUGAUUUUGAUUUAAA